CUGCCUUCCCCUCAAGCUCAGGGCCAAGCUGUCCGCCAGCCUCGGCUCCUCCGGGCAGCCCUCGCCCUGGUUUUGUCCGCCUUCCCUGCCUCCUCUUCUGGGGGAGUUAGAUUGAGUUGUAACAAGAACAUGCCACUGUCUCACUGGCUGCAGCGUGUGGUCCCCUUACCAGAGGUAAGGAAGAGAUGGAUCUCCACUCAUGUUGUAGACAGAAUGUUUAUGUCCUCUCCAAAUUCUUAUGUUGAAACCCUAACCCCUAAUGUGAUGGUAUGUGGAGAUGGGCCUUUGGUAGGUAAUUACGGUUAGAUGAGGUCAUGGGGUGGGGCCCUCAUUAUAGAUCUGGUAAGAAAAGAGAGCAUUGUCUCUCUGUCUCCCUCUCUCUCUCUCUCUCUCUCUCUCUCUCUCUAUCUCUAUCUCAUUUCUCUCUCUCUCUCUAUCUCAUUUCUCUCUCUCUCUUUCUCUCCUCUGUCUUUUCCCACCAAGUGAGGAUGCGAAGAGAAGGUGGCUGUCUGCAAACCAGGAAGAGAGCCCUCACCAGGAACCCGU
rnacentral:lncRNA from 10 species